rnacentral:rRNA from 1 species
GAUGAACGCUGGCGGCGUGCCUAACACAUGCAAGUCGAACGGACUCAUAUUGAAACCUAGUGAUUUAUGAGUUAGUGGCGGACGGGUGAGUAACGCGUGGAAAACCUGCCGUAUACCGGGGGAUAACACUUAGAAAUAGGUGCUAAUACCGCAUAAGCGCACAGCUUCGCAUGAAGCAGUGUGAAAAACUCCGGUGGUAUACGAUGGAUCCGCGUCUGAUUAGCUGGUUGGCGGGGUAACAGCCCACCAAGGCGACGAUCAGUAGCCGGCCUGAGAGGGUGAACGGCCACAUUGGGACUGAGACACGGCCCAA